UGCAUGCUGAAACGCUAAAGCUCAGCCAAGGAAAGGGAAGAACACCUUCCAAACACACAAACCCUCACUUAGAUAUUCAAAUCCAAAUAACUUUUGAUCCAGAGCUCCGAUCGCCGUACCGUUUGCGGCCACGCGACCGCAGCGUCGAGUUCUACAAAGCACAAUCCUUAAUUAGUGUUUAGGUUCGAAUUAACUUGCAAAUAUUGUCGGAUUUAGCCCACUUGAGCUGUGGACAAGAUUGAAAAUUGGUUGUGAAUUGGAGUCAAUUUGAUAAAUUGGGAGCUUGAGAUCAAGUUUUGGAGGCUAGGUCCUUUAGGGAGGGGCUGAGGUUGAGAAGCUUGUGGUGCGGUGAACGCUUGAGGUGUUCCGGGUUUAUCGAAAAAUCGGCCAAGGUAUGGUUUCGGUUUCUCGUAGCUAAAAUAUAAUGUUUCAUGAAAACUUAGGUUAGUGACCGUAAGAUAGGAAUUGAAUUGUUAAUGUUGUUGUUGGUUAGGAUUGCGUAAUAUGUAUGUUAGUUAGUGAUUUGGAGGUUGUGUUUGAGGCUCUUAUAAAUUGUGUGUGUGACUUUGUAUAUGAUAUUGGUUGGUAUGUAUAAGGAUUAGUGAAUUUGAAGUUGUUAUUGGUGUCAUAUUUAGUGUGUUGUUGAGAUUACACUUGAUAGAGCUAAUUGAUGAGGCAUAUUGAAAUAUUGUUGUGAACUUGAAUUAUUGAACUGAAAUUGAUGGAAGUGGUGAAUCGAUGGGUUGUGGGAGGAAUAAAGAGGAUUGAAAUAUGAUUGAGAAAGGUUUGAUGCUGUUAUGGUAAGGUUUGGUUUGGUUUUGAAAGGUUUGAGAUUGGUAUGUUUUGAAAGUUAAUGGUUUGUAAACUUAAUGAAAUCUCUUAUUUUUGAUCAACUUUGACAGAGCAUAACUUAGCCUCCGGACCUCCGAAUCUUAUUAAACUUGUCUUGAAAUAAAAUUUGGUUUGAGAGGUUUACAUCCUUUGAAAAACGGAUGAAAAAUAUUUUAAAACAAGAAAGAUAUGUGCAUUGGAAGUUUGGUGUGAAAAGCUGAAAUUCUGCAAUAUUUGAACAUUUUGGCCACCCUGCGUAACUCGUGUACGUGAGCCUCGCACGUGACGUGACCAUUCUCGUCGGUUUUGGUGUCUCGUGUACCCGAGCAGGUGUACGCGUAUGUGAGAGGUCGAAUUUUUGUAGGGGCACAUACGCGAAGAUUGACACGCGACGCGAGCUUUCAUUUCGGGUUGCACACCCCACGUACGCGGGCAAGGGGUCGCGUAUGCGAGCCCUUGUUUUUUCAAAACAUUGAUUUUACUUCUAAAUACAUUCCUCUAGUUUUUAAAAUCCUUUUUACUCUUGUUUAAAGCCUGAUAGGUGGAAUUUGGGUAGUGGAGUAUAACUAAGGCUGUGAGGAAGGUAACUUGUUGGUGAAGAAAGAGGUAAAGCUAAUGAUGAAACAUGGUUGUUAAUGAUUAUAUGAAUUCACUGAUGAUAAUGGCGGAAGUGAUGCUUAUGUAUUGAGUCAGAUGGAUGUAUUAAUAAAUGAAUUAUGGCUGAAAAUGAUUAUAUGAUUAUUGAAUGAUUAUGUGGUUUGUUAUACUUCCAAAUAUCUGAGAUACGAGUUUUCCUGGGUAAAAACAGUGGCUUGCCACCACAUGUUCCAUGUUGAGACUCGAUAUUCUGCUGACCCUAUAUCGUAAGUGUGGUCGGACACUUCCAGAUGAGCUCGCCCCCGUGGAUAUACAUCGGUGUGUGUUAUAUGAUUAUGAUUUGAGAUUUUUGGGGAUGCACGACAGAGGGAGAGUCCAAUGGUUAGCUACCAGGACUUGUUAGGUUGGCUAUAUAGUCGACAGAUGAAACUCAUGAACCAUAGGACAGGCAUGCAUCAUAUACAUUUAUGUGUUUGUUUGGAAUGCCUAACUGAUCGCAUAAACUACUUGCUACCUGUUUAUCUGUUGUAUCUGAAUUCUAUGAUUUCCUUGAAUGUAAUAUCUGUAUUUCAAACAAAUGGUUCCAGUGGCGGUAGGGAGGUUCGGAGGAGAUGGAAAGAGGAGUGUUAGAUAGAAUGAAGAUCCUUAGUUAGUCACCUAAUCUAUUUUUGGUUUAGUUAUGUUUUAUAAGAUUGAUUCAAUUGUCGGAAGUUUUAGGAUUGCCUUUGGCUUUUCCGAGACCUUAUAUGUUAGUUAUGCAGGAACUUUACUAUGCUGAGAACCUCUGGUUCUCACCCCAUACAUAUUCUGUGAUUUUUAGAUGCAAGACAUUGAUAAACCAUAAUUUUAUGGGUUAUUUUGAAUUAAAUUGAGUGGAUUUUGUCAAUUCUUUUCACACUUAUUCAUGUAAAUUGCAUGUUUUGAUGAUUCCUUCCUAAUUAUGCUUCAUAGUUUAAAACAUACUUCUUAGACCUUAAAAUGCUAAUUCUCAAAUCCUCUCUUGUUACCAUUCGAUGCCGUGAUUGGUUUGUUAAGUGAUUUCAGAGUAUAUAGGGAAGGAAUGGCUUGGAGGAUGAAAAAGAGGCAUGCAAAAGUGGAAGGAACGCAAGAAAUUGAAGAAUUGAGAAGCUGGUACCGAUGCGCAUGCGUACCUGACGCGUACGCGUGGAUAAGUGUAUUAGUUAGUUAUCGCACGCUAGUAGCUUACGCGCAUGCGGGAUAAGCAAAGUUCAAUUGACGCGCACGCGUGGCAUGUGAAGAGUCCAGCUGACACGUAUGCGUGGCCGAUGCGUAGCGUGACAAGCAUCACAUGCCUCACUUAAGGGAAUACGCUGGGGGCGAUUUUAGAGCCUUCUAAUGGCCCAGUUUCAAGCCCAUUCUGCAGAUUAGAGGCUGGGAGUGAAGGAAGAAGGAGAGAACAUUCCAUUGGCAUAGUUUUAGAUAGUUUUUAAUUUCUAGAGAGAGAACUUCUCACUUCUCUCUAGGUUUUAGGGUUUCUUGCUCUUUUUCUUUUAAAUCCUUGGCUUAGAUCCUUUCUAAUUUCAGUUAUUGUUAUUUUAAUUGUGGUUUCUACUUUGCA